GGGCGUGGAUCCUUCUUAGGCAUCCUACCUACUAGUAUGAGGUGUCACAUCAUCACAUCUCAUCUCUCAAUUGAUUAAGUUGCGAAGCCAUUUGGUUUGGAGUUCAUCCUGCUUUUCUGCGGCAUCUGACGUGCAUGCGAAGUAGAGGAUUUGCAUAUCCAGGACUCUGUAAAUGUUUAUAUCAGAUAAUUUGAGAUUUGAUCCCUGGUUCCACUGUGAUUCAGAUAAGGAUUUGAUCCUUAAACAAGUGAAAUAUU
rnacentral:lncRNA from 1 species